GGUUAAGCGACUAAGCGUACACGGUGGAUGCCCUGGCAGUCAGAGGCGAUGAAGGACGUGCUAAUCUGCGAAAAGCGCCGGCGAGGUGAUAUGAACCCUUGACCCGGCGAUGUCCGAAUGGGGAAACCCAGUGCAAUCCGUUGCACUAUCGUUAACUGAAUACAUAGGUUAACGAGGCGAACCGGGGGAACUGAAACAUCUAAGUACCCCGAGGAAAAGAAAUCAACCGAGAUUCCCCCAGUAGCGGCGAGCGAACGGGGAGCAGCCCGGAGUCUGAAUCAGCUUGUGUGUUAGUGGAACGGUCUGGAAAGUCCGACGGUACAGGGUGAUAGUCCCGUACACGAAAGCACACAUGCUGUGAACUCGAAGAGUAGGGCGGGACACGUGGUAUCCUGUCUGAAUAUGGGGGGACCAUCCUCCAAGGCUAAAUACUCCUGACUGACCGAUAGUGAACCAGUACCGUGAGGGAAAGGCGAAAAGAACCCCGGCGAGGGGAGUGAAAAAGAACCUGAAACCGUGUACGUACAAGCAGUGGGAGCCUCUUUAUGGGGUGACUGCGUACCUUUUGUAUAAUGGGUCAGCGACUUAUAUUCUGUAGCAAGGUUAACCGUAUAGGGGAGCCGAAGGGAAACCGAGUCUUAACUGGGCGUUAAGUUGCAGGGUAUAGACCCGAAACCCGGUGAUCUAGCCAUGGGCAGGUUGAAGGUUGGGUAACACUAACUGGAGGACCGAACCGACUAAUGUUGAAAAAUUAGCGGAUGACCUGUGGCUGGGGGUGAAAGGCCAAUCAAACCGGGAGAUAGCUGGUUCUCCCCGAAAGCUAUUUAGGUAGCGCCUCGUGAACUCAUCUUCGGGGGUAGAGCACUGUUUCGGCUAGGGGGCCAUCCCGGCUUACCAACCCGAUGCAAACUACGAAUACCGAAGAAUGUUAUCACGGGAGACACACGGCGGGUGCUAACGUCCGUCGUGAAGAGGGAAACAACCCAGACCGCCAGCUAAGGUCCCAAAGUCAUGGUUAAGUGGGAAACGAUGUGGGAAGGCACAGACAGCCAGGAUGUUGGCUUAGAAGCAGCCAUCAUUUAAAGAAAGCGUAAUAGCUCACUGGUCGAGUCGGCCUGCGCGGAAGAUGUAACGGGGCUAAACCAUGCACCGAAGCUGCGGCAGCGACACUUAUGUGUUGUUGGGUAGGGGAGCGUUCUGUAAGCCGUUGAAGGUGUGCUGUGAGGCAUGCUGGAGGUAUCAGAAGUGCGAAUGCUGACAUAAGUAACGAUAAAGCGGGUGAAAAGCCCGCUCGCCGGAAGACCAAGGGUUCCUGUCCAACGUUAAUCGGGGCAGGGUGAGUCGACCCCUAAGGCGAGGCCGAAAGGCGUAGUCGAUGGGAAACAGGUUAAUAUUCCUGUACUUGGUGUUACUGCGAAGGGGGGACGGAGAAGGCUAUGUCAGCCGGGCGACGGUUGUCCCGGUUUAAGCAUGUAGGCGGAGGUUCCAGGUAAAUCCGGUACCUUAUUAACGCUGAGGUGUGAUGACGAGGCACUACGGUGCUGAAGUGAUAAAUGCCCUGCUUCCAGGAAAAGCCUCUAAGCAUCAGGUAACACGAAAUCGUACCCCAAACCGACACAGGUGGUCAGGUAGAGAAUACCAAGGCGCUUGAGAGAACUCGGGUGAAGGAACUAGGCAAAAUGGUGCCGUAACUUCGGGAGAAGGCACGCUGAUAUGUAGGUGAAGCCCCUGCGGGCGGAGCUGAAAUCAGUCGAAGAUACCAGCUGGCUGCAACUGUUUAUUAAAAACACAGCACUGUGCAAACACGAAAGUGGACGUAUACGGUGUGACGCCUGCCCGGUGCCGGAAGGUUAAUUGAUGGGGUUAGCGGCAACGCGAAGCUCUUGAUCGAAGCCCCGGUAAACGGCGGCCGUAACUAUAACGGUCCUAAGGUAGCGAAAUUCCUUGUCGGGUAAGUUCCGACCUGCACGAAUGGCGUAAUGAUGGCCAGGCUGUCUCCACCCGAGACUCAGUGAAAUUGAACUCGCUGUGAAGAUGCAGUGUACCCGCGGCAAGACGGAAAGACCCCGUGAACCUUUACUAUAGCUUGACACUGAACACUGGUCCUUGAUGUGUAGGAUAGGUGGGAGGCUUUGAAGCGUGGACGCCAGUCUGCGUGGAGCCAACCUUGAAAUACCACCCUUUAAUGGCUGGUGUUCUAACGUGGACCCGUUACCCGGGUUGCGGACAGUGUCUGGUGGGUAGUUUGACUGGGGCGGUCUCCUCCCAAAGAGUAACGGAGGAGCACGAAGGUUGGCUAAUCCUGGUCGGACAUCAGGAGGUUAGUGCAAUGGCAUAAGCCAGCUUGACUGCGAGCGUGACGGCGCGAGCAGGUGCGAAAGCAGGUCAUAGUGAUCCGGUGGUUCUGAAUGGAAGGGCCAUCGCUCAACGGAUAAAAGGUACUCCGGGGAUAACAGGCUGAUACCGCCCAAGAGUUCAUAUCGACGGCGGUGUUUGGCACCUCGAUGUCGGCUCAUCACAUCCUGGGGCUGAAGUAGGUCCCAAGGGUAUGGCUGUUCGCCAUUUAAAGUGGUACGCGAGCUGGGUUUAGAACGUCGUGAGACAGUUCGGUCCCUAUCUGCCGUGGGCGCUGGAGAAUUGAGGGGGGCUGCUCCUAGUACGAGAGGACCGGAGUGGACGCAUCACUGGUGUUCGGGUUGUCAUGCCAAUGGCACUGCCCGGUAGCUAAAUGCGGAAGAGAUAAGUGCUGAAAGCAUCUAAGCACGAAACUUGCCCCGAGAUGAGUUCUCCCUGAGACUUUAAGUCUCCUGAAGGAACGUUGAAGACGACGACGUUGAUAGGUCGGGUGUGUAAGCGCAGCGAUGCGUUGAGCUAACCGAUACUAAUGAACCGUGAGGCUUAACCUU
rnacentral:rRNA from 1 species